UAUAUUUUUUUUCAAGAACUUAGAUUACCACUGUAGCUGUUGCUGAUCUUGACUCUUAGAAAUACUCUAAUUGAUAUUUCUAAUACUCAUAAUAGUGACACGAUCUUCUGAGCACUCUCAGAGCAUUUCUCUAGAGGCUUCACCUUGCUUUCAAGUAUGAGUGGGAGACUUGGUAGCAAACUGUUAUAUAAAUCUUUUUAUAACUAGUAGAUAACUAUUGCGAUGCCAGCAUUGAACACUUUUUAAAUUUAGUUAUAUAGAUUAAGAACAACAAUACGCAGUAGCGUAGUCGAUAAGCGAGCG
rnacentral:sRNA from 2 species